ACAGUGGUUUGAGCCAAUCAGCAGCGUGUUGGUCGCAGUUUGAUGAGGUAGUGAGCCGUGUGCAGGAGCUGGGCGCUGAUGAUGGGGGAGGACAGUCAAGUGGGAGAGGUGGUGUUCAGGCGAGGCUGUGGACAGAGCGACGACUCGGAUAUUUGGGAUGACACGGCGCUGAUAAAAGCCUACGAUAAGGCGGUGACCUCCUUCAAAAAUGCUCUGAAGAAUGGUGAAUAUAUUCAGCCGUAUACCAAGGAUUGCAGUGGAACUGGAACAAAACAAAAACAGAAGAAAAACAAAAACAGAAAGAAGAGUCAUGUGCAUCUGGAGAGAAAGUGGCGAGUUGGUGACCCCUGUAACGCAGUGUGGUCUGAAGAUGGCAACAUGUACCCGGCAACGAUUCAGUCCGUUAAUGAAAAACGUGGAACGUGUGUGGUGAUGUAUACUGGUUAUGGAAACGAAGAGGAGCAGAAUCUAGCAGAGCUGCUUCCAGCUGACAGCUCUGAGGCAGAGAAUGAGAGUCCUAAACAGAAAAAUGGGCUCAACCAGCAAUCAACAGAUGAAAGUGAUGCUGUUUCACCUGCCUAUAAAUCUCGCCAAUCAAAUGAAACCAAAUUAAAAACACCAUUGGAUCAGUUUACCUGGAAUCACUGUCUUCCCCCUCAACCACCACAAAUGCCAGGAUUUGGCUUUCCCGGUGCAAAAUUUCACGGUCCACCGCCUUUCCUACCUGGAUGGUUACCAACAGUUCCAGCAGGACCACCAGUGAUUAAUUCCGCCUCCACCUCCAAUGGGGCCAGAUUCAACUGAUGAGGAUGAAGAAGCUUUAGGAAGCAUGCUAAUAGCAUGGUACAUGAGUGGCUAUCACACUGGUUAUUAUUUGGGUCUCAAGCAAGGGCGAAUGGAAGCAGGCAUGGGGAAGAAUCCUCGUUCUUAGUUUGUUAGAAAAGUAAGCA